GCAGCCGUGGCCUACUGGUUAGCGCUUCGGACUUGUAUCCGGAGGGUUGCCGGUUCAAGCCCCGACCAGUAGGA
rnacentral:tRNA from 1 species